AAAAGGGCCUGUCAACGCACGCAUUAUUGAACCAAUAAAAGGGUGAAAACAAUUCAUAACCCGAGUUCAAUUCUUAAUUUUUAAACUUUAAACUCCAACACAUGCUUAUCCGUAGUUAAGUUUGUGCAUUUUUGAUAAAACCAAUGGCAUUUGUAAAGACACAACUUUACUCCGAUAGAGUCAGGGAACUUGUCAUUGUUUCAUCACGUAUGUGUCGACAUGUGUUGAAUUUUGAACUUUACCUGAGAUGGAGGAAGGGUUAACCUUGAUUCGUAUAUGGAAUCGUCGCUCGUUGGAUGCUCAUUACUCGUUCGUGUACCCUUUGGGAGAGUUUGUUGUUUUUGACUCGAGGCAAGUUAACAUGUCCCUAUUAUGAUAACUCAUUUAUUAUUUAUGUUCAAAAAUUUCACGUCUCACGCGCUCUCUGCUGAAGAAGCGACUUGUACAUACUCCCAUUUACUUUCUACAUAAAUCACACCGCACGACUCUCGUAUGUAGCUUCAAUCCAACUCCCGAAUAAUGCAGUCAAACCAACGACAUGGCCAACUAUGCGAGGGUUCCAUGCACAUACUUACGAAUACACGCCGUGUAGACACACUUGAAAAAAAAAGAAAUUUGGACCAGAAACCAAAACUGCCUCCAUUAACAUAAUAUUCAAGUAAUUCUCAGAGCUCUUCAGCACACUCGAGAAAGUCGAAAAUUCCAUUAUACGCAUUCUCAGAUAAUAAUAUUAUUAUCUUAGGAAACUGGCCAAGAAGUACAUGUGCAAGGACAAAAAAUUCCACUAGAAGUUCUGCAACGUUAAUGAUACGCUUGAGUGCUCUUGUUACUAAUCAGGUAUUUGAAUGGACUAAAUCCCACAUCUUAGGAGCUCAAUUUUAUUCGUUAAUAAAAUUAAUUUGUGGAUUAUAAAAUAAGGCUUUGUUAUUCAAGCUGAUAAUUAACAAAUUAUUUAUCUGCAUGUGGCAGGCAGUGGUGGCCGAGUGGUCAUCACACUGUGCUUCAAGCCGAAUGGAGGUUCUGGGUUCAAUUCCCAGUACUGGCAGAGAGUUUUUUCCCUUGUGGUUUUCCUCUCUGACUUGUUGCACAGGUCUGUGCGGUGUCCAUUGCACUACGGGCACCAUAGUUAGGAACCUGUGACCAUCUAUUUCUCACUUAUGUGAGGUUUGGUUCACUUGUAAUUCAAAUGUAAUGGCUAAAAUUGGGAAUCAAUAAAGACGACCUUUUUUUUA